AAAUGGAAUAUGAAAUUCAAUGUUGAUAAAUGCAUAGUAAUAUGCAUUGGGAAACAUAAUCUCAACAAUACAUAUGAAAUGAUGGGGUCUAAAUUAGUGGUUGCCAUUCAAGAAAUAGAUCUUGGAGUAAUCAUGGAUAGUUCUCUGAAAAAAUCCGCUCAAUGUGCAAUGGCAGUCAAAAAAGCUAAGGGCAUGUUAGGAACC